AUUCCCCUAGUAACUGCGAGUGAAGCGGGAAAAGCUCAAAUUUAAAAUCUGGUGGUCUUUGGCCAUCCGAGUUGUAAUUUAGAGAAGCGUCUUCCGCGCUGGACCGUGCACAAGUCUCCUGGAAUGGAGCGUCAUAGAGGGUGAGAAUCCCGUCUUUGGCACGGACAUGCCAGUGCUUUUGUGAUGCGCUCUCGAAGAGUCGAGUUGUUUGGGAAUGCAGCUCAAAAUGGGUGGUGAACUCCAUCUAAAGCUAAAUAUUGGCGAGAGACCGAUAGCGAACAAGUACCGUGAGGGAAAGAUGAAAAGCACUUUGGAAAGAGAGUGAAACAGUACGUGAAAUUGUUGAAAGGGAAACGCUUGAAGUCAGUCGCGUCGACCGAGACUCAGCCUCGCCUUGGCUUGGUGUACUUCUCGGCCGACGGGUCAGCAUCAAUUUUGCCUCUUGGAUAAUGGCGAGGGAAAUGUGACACCUUUACGGUGUGUUAUAGUCUCUCGUCGCAUGCAAGGGUUGGGAUUGAGGAACUCAGCACGCGCCUUCGGGUGUCGGGGUUUUGCCCACGAUACGUGCUUAGGAUGUUGGCGUAAUGGCUUUAAACGACCCGUCUUGAAACACGGACCAAGGAGUCUAACAUGCCUGCGAGUGUUCGGGUGGAAAACCCGUGCGCGCAAUGAAAGUGAAAGUUGGGACCUCCGUCGUGGAGGGCACCGACGCCCGGACCAGACCUUCUGUGACGGCUCUGCGGUAAAGCAUGUAUGUUAGGACCCGAAAGAUGGUGAACUAUGCCUGAAUAGGGUGAAGCCAGAGGAAACUCUGGUGGAGGCUCGUAGCGAUUCUGACGUGCAAAUCGAUCGUCAAAUUUGGGUAUAGGGGCGAAAGACUAAUCGA
rnacentral:rRNA from 1 species